CUGGGUGACGAGCGGCGGACGGGUGAGUAAUGUCUGGGAAACUGCCUGAUGGAGGGGGAUAACUACUGGAAACGGUAGCUAAUACCGCAUAACGUCGCAAGACCAAAGAGGGGGACCUUCGGGCCUCUUGCCAUCAGAUGUGCCCAGAUGGGAUUAGCUAGUAGGUGGGGUAAUGGCUCACCUAGGCGACGAUCCCUAGCUGGUCUGAGAGGAUGACCAGCCACACUGGAACUGAGACACGGUCCAGACUCCUACGGGAGGCAGCAGUGGGGAAUAUUGCACAAUGGGCGCAAGCCUGAUG
rnacentral:rRNA from 1 species